GACGAACGCUGGCGGCGUGCUUAACACAUGCAAGUCGAACGGAGAAGCUCCACCUUGCUGGAGUGGAUCAGUGGCGAACGGGUGAGUAACACGUGAGCAACCUGCCCCGUACUCUGGAAUAAGCGCUGGAAACGGCUUCUAAUACUUGCUAUGAGAAGGGUCCGCAUGGACACCUUCUGGAAAGUCGUUCGGUUGGGGAUGGGCUCGCGGCCUACCAGCUUGUUGGUGAGGGAAUGGCUCACCAAGGCGACGACGGGUAGCCGGCCUGGGAGCUCGAACAGCCACCCUGGGACUGAGACAGGGACCAGACGCCUACGGGAGGCAGCGGUGGGGAAUAUUGCACAAUGGGCGAAAGCCUGAUGCAGCGACGCCGCGUGUGGGAUGACGGCCUUCGGGUUGGAAACCUCUUUCAGCAGGGAAGAAGCGAAAGUGACGGUACCUGCAGAAGAAGCACCGGCUAACUACGUG
rnacentral:rRNA from 1 species